CCGCACGUAGCUCAGUGGAUAGAGCACCAGUCUUCGGAACUGGGUGUCGGGGGUUCGAAUCCCUUCGUGCGGGCCA
rnacentral:tRNA from 1 species